ACGCUCGACACCUACGAGGCAGCAGUGGGGAAUAUUGCACAAUGGGGGAAACCCUGAUGCAGCGAUGCCGCGUGAAGGAAGAAGUAUCUCGGUAUGUAAACUUCUAUCAGCAGGGAGGAAAAUGACGGUACCUGACUAAGAAGCCCCGGCUAACUACGUGCUAGCAGCCGCGGUAAUCUGAGGCGGCUGGCAAGGC
rnacentral:rRNA from 1 species